rnacentral:rRNA from 1 species
UACGUAGGUGGCAAGCGUUGUCCGGAAUUAUUGGGCGUAAAGCGCGCGCAGGCGGCUUACUAAGUCCAUCUUAAAAGUGCGGGGCUUAACCCCGUGAUGGGAUGGAAACUGGGAAGCUGGAGUAUCGGAGAGGAAAGUGGAAUUCCUAGUGUAGCGGUGAAAUGCGUAGAGAUUAGGAAGAACACCGGUGGCGAAGGCGACUUUCUGGACGAAAACUGACGCUGAGGCGCGAAAGCGUGGGGAGCAAACAGG